CCUACGGGGCGCAGCAGUGGGGAAUAUUGGACAAUGGGGGAAACCCUGAUCCAGCGACGCCGCGUGAGUGAAGAAGUAUUUCGGGUUGUAAACCUCUUUUGUCGGGGAGCAAAGCGAACCACGUGUGGUUCAUUGAGAGUACCCGAAGAAAAAGCAUCGGCUAACUCCGUGCCAGCAGCCGCGGUAAUACGGAGGAUGCGAGCGUUAUCCGGAUUUAUUGGGUUUAAAGGGUGCGCAGGCGGAGGAGCAAGUCGGCGGACAAAUUG
rnacentral:rRNA from 1 species